AGAGUUUGAUUCUGGCUCAGAUUGAACGCUGGCGGUAUGCUUAACACAUGCAAGUCGAACGGUAACAUAGAGAGCUUGCUCUCUGAUGACGAGUGGCGGACGGGUGAGUAAUGCAUAGGAAUCUGCCUAUUAGUGGGGGACAACAGUCGGAAACGACUGCUAAUACCGCAUACGCCCUACGGGGGAAAGCGGGGGAUCUUCGGACCUCGCGCUAAUAGAUGAGCCUAUGUUAGAUUAGCUAGUUGGUGAGGUAAGGGCUCACCAAGGCGACGAUCUAUAGCUGGUCUGAGAGGAUGAUCAGCCACGCUGGGACUGAGACACGGCCCAGACUCCUACGGGAGGCAGCAGUGGGGAAUAUUGGACAAUGGGCGAAAGCCUGAUCCAGCAAUACCGCGUGUGUGAAGAAGGCCUGAGGGUUGUAAAGCACUUUCAAUUGGGAGGAAAACAGGCAGGUCAAUACCCUGUCUCUUGACAUUACCUUUAGAAGAAGCACCGGCUAACUCCGUGCCAGCAGCCGCGGUAAUACGGAGGGUGCAAGCGUUAAUCGGAAUUACUGGGCGUAAAGCGUGCGUAGGCGGUUAUUUAAGUCAGAUGUGAAAGCCCCGGGCUUAACCUGGGAACUGCAUUUGAUACUGGAUAACUAGAGUUGAGUAGAGGGGAGUGGAAUUUCAGGUGUAGCGGUGAAAUGCGUAGAGAUCUGAAGGAACACCAGUGGCGAAGGCGACUCCCUGGACUCAAACUGACGCUGAGGUACGAAAGCGUGGGUAGCAAACGGGAUUAGAUACCCCGGUAGUCCACGCCGUAACGAUGUCAACUAACUGUUGGGUUCUUAUAGAACUUAGUGGUGGAGCUAACGUAUUAAGUUGACCGCCUGGGGAGUACGGCCGCAAGGCUAAAACUCAAAUGAAUUGACGG
rnacentral:rRNA from 1 species